CGCGUCUUCCUGACCUGGGUUCACCUCGCCUCGCCUCACCCCGCACCGCCCGGGGAGGAAAUGGCGGCGGGCGCUGUCUCAGCGGGGAGCGGGGAUCCCGGCCCCGCAGCGCCACCUCUCCGGCUCGGAGCGCCAGGGCCGGCGGCGGCCCUUGCGGGGGUGAGAGCCCGGCAGCGGGGCCGGGGUCCGGCGGGGGGCGGCGUCCCGCCCGCGGGAAGGGCGCGCUGAGCGGUGCUGCCUCAGAUCGGGGGGACCCCGCGCCGUCCCGCUCCGCGGUUUCUGCUAUCGGUGCGGGGAAGCGGGCGGAGCUCGCAGGUCGGCCUUCAGCGUCUCCAUGUUCGCGUUUAGCGCCGGUUUGCGAGGCGGUCUCAUCUGUCAGUCGUCGGAAGCGGCUCCGGCAGCGUUGGAAAUCUCAACUUCUCUGGAAAUCCUUUCUUGUGUGUUCAGAAAAAAACGUUAUAUCAGCGCAGGAACGUGCGGCUGCAAUUGGAGACAGCAGGGCUGUCUGAUAAUAAAAGUUAGCUUUCUUUGGUAAAAAAAAAAAAAAAAAAAAAAAAAAAAAA
rnacentral:lncRNA from 1 species